rnacentral:rRNA from 1 species
UACGUAGGGUGCGAGCGUUGUCCGGAAUUAUUGGGCGUAAAGAGCUUGUAGGCGGUUUGUCGCGUCUGCUCGUGAAAAUCCGGGGCUCAACCCCGGACUUGCAGUGGGUACGGGCAGACUGGAGUACUGCAGGGGGAGACUGGAAUUCCUGGUGUAGCGGUGGAAUGCGCAGAUAUCAGGAGGAACACCGGUGGCGAAGGCGGGUCUCUGGGCGAGUAACUGACGCUGAGGAGCGAAAAGCGUGGGGGAGCGAAACAGG